rnacentral:rRNA from 1 species
UACAGAGGGUGCGAGCGUUAAUCGGAAUUACUGGGCGUAAAGCGCACGUAGUCGGCUUUGCAAGUCGGGUGUGAAAUCCCCGGGCUCAACCUGGGAACUGCAUCCGAGACUGCAUUGCUAGAGUAUGGGAGAGGGAAGCGGAAUUUCUGGUGUAGCAGUGAAAUGCGUAGAUAUCAGAAGGAACAUCAGUGGCGAAGGCGGCUUCCUGGACCAGUACCGACGUUCAGGCACGAAAGCGUGGGGAGCAAACAGG